AUAAGCUAGAGAGAGAGAGAGAACAUAAGCCAUGGCAUUCGACCAUGGCUAGCAAAAUAUUGAAGCUCAAAUUUGUUGAUCAAAAGUCAGAUUUUCAAAGUAUUCCAACCCUUAGGAAGGUGCAUAGCAACGUGGAGUAGUCAUUGGAGCAACAAGAACAAGUAUUAUUUCAUUUCACAAAUUCUAGUCAAGUUGAGAAGUCAAGUGUUUAAGGUUCAGGGAUGCAGUCAGACAAUCCAGCCACCUAGGAGGAGUCAGCGUUGAGAGUCAGACAGCUCCACUUGCUUCGGAGACUGUUCCUGUUUUGGUAUAAUUUUGUGUGUAUAUAUUAUGGGCACGACGGGGCCCUGUUCCGUCACUUAUGCACGGUCAUACUCUUUUAGUAGUCUGCGGAUAGCGUGGGUGUCAUGGAUACUGUUUGGCCUUACUGGCCACUGUUUUGUUGUACAGAAGCAUCAGCAGCCUCGUUGGCUUGCAUUGUGAUAUGUUACAUAUAUAUAUAUAAAUAUGUUUUGGGA